GACGUAGGUGGCGAACGUUAUCCGGAAUCAUUGGGCGUAAAGGGUGCGUAGAUGGCAUGAUAAGUUAUUAGUGGGAAAUCGAGGCUCAACCUCGUGGAAGCUAGUAAUACUGUUUUGCUUGAGUACAGAAGAGGUUAACGGAACUCCAUGUGGAGCGGUAAAAUGCGUAGAUAUUGGGAGGAACACCAGUGGCGAAGGCGGCUACCUGGACCGGUUCUGACGCUGAGGUGCGAAAGCGUGGGGAGCAAACAGG
rnacentral:rRNA from 1 species